rnacentral:rRNA from 1 species
AUCGAACGCUGGCGGCAGGCCUAACACAUGCAAGUCGAGCGGAGAGGCGGACGGGUGGGUAAUGCCGAGGAAUCAGCAUGGUAGUGAGGGAUAACGUACGGAGACGGGCGCUAAUACCGCAUACGUUCAGAGGAGCCUAGGUUGGCUUAGCUAGUUGGGGGGGGAAUGGCCUACCAAGGCGACGAUCCGUAACUGGUCUGAGAGGAUGAUCAGUCACACUGGAACUUAGACACGGUCCAGACUCCUACGGGAGGCAGCAGUAGGGAAUGUUGGACAAUGGGCGAAAGCCUGAUCCAGCCAUGCCGCGUGUGUGAAGAAGGUCUUCGGAUUGUAAAGCACUUUAAGUUGGGAGGCGUUACCAACAGAGUAAGCACCGGCUAACUUCGUGCCAGCAGCCGCGGUAAUAC